GUUGGUGUCUUUGGCAGAAGUGGUUUCUUCAGUGAUGAGCCCCACGUAUAAGAAGGCUUGGUGGGUGGGUGCAAUAGGGCAGAGGUUAGGUAGAAGGUGAUGAUGAAAUAGAAAGGAAAGAACGAGGGAGAGAGAACAAGGCAGGUUGCCUGGGAGAUGGCAAAUGAAAGAUGGAAAGUAGGGUUAGGAUAGGCUCUUUACUGAAGGCACUGUGUCCUCUUCCAAAAAUAUCUUUAUCAGACCCAGGAAAGAGCCCAGAACUCUGCCUGGCAGCUUUUCCCUAUAAACUAAUCACAGACUUUUCCCACUGGAAAGGAGAACAAGGACCAUAUGUUGCUGGGAGGGUGUGAAGCUGGGGGUGAGGUAUCUUAUUUUAAUUUGUCAGUGAGUCAUCAUUUAGUACACACCAAGGAUCCUCUUUCUGCUCAUACUGGGAGAUAAAGGUUAUCUUGGGGUAGUAGCAUCCCCUAAUGUAAAGGGUGAUACUCACAGCAGGAGGCAGGACAAAGACCUGAGACUUUUUCCUUACCCCCAGAUGACUUCUCAUGGGGAACAUGAUAUGUUUUCUCAAGGGUGAACAUUGAGUAGAUGGAACCAAACUUAUAUAAAAUUUACUUAUACAGCAUUUUUUGUAUGCUUUGCUUUUGCACUGAAGAGAUUCUGUUGUACUUAUUAUGAAAUAAGUGUUAUAAACAAGUUCUACCUCCCCCCCUCAAUUCAGUGCUGGAGAUGAUUGAACAGACAGGUAAUCCACCACUAAGAUACAUCCUCCAACUCUUUAAAAAAAAAUGUUUUUUUGAGACAGG
rnacentral:lncRNA from 1 species